rnacentral:rRNA from 1 species
AGACCCGAAACCCGGUGAUCUAGCCAUGGGCAGGUUGAAGGUUGGGUAACACUAACUGGAGGACCGAACCGACUAAUGUUGAAAAAUUAGCGGAUGACCUGUGGCUGGGGGUGAAAGGCCAAUCAAACCGGGAGAUAGCUGGUUCUCCCCGAAAGCUAUUUAGGUAGCGCCUCGUGAAUUCAUCUCCGGGGGUAGAGCACUGUUUCGGCUAGGGGGCCAUCCCGGCUUACCAACCCGAUGCAAACUGCGAAUACCGGAGAAUGUUAUCACGGGAGACACACGGCGGGUGCUAACGUCCGUCGUGAAGAGGGAAACAACCCAGACCGCCAGCUAAGGUCCCAAAGUCAUGGUUAAGUGGGAAACGAUGUGGGAAGGCCCAGACAGCCAGGAUGUUGGCUUAGAAGCAGCCAUCAUUUAAAGAAAGCGUAAUAGCUCACUGGUCGAGUCGGCCUGCGCGGAAGAUGUAACGGGGCUAAACCAUGCACCGAAGCUGCGGCAGCGACACUCAGGUGUUGUUGGGUAGGGGAGCGUUCUGUAAGCCUGUGAAGGUGGCCUGUGAGGGUUGCUGGAGGUAUCAGAAGUGCGAAUGCUGACAUAAGUAACGAUAAAGCGGGUGAAAAGC